CCCAUCGAGGCGCCUGUCCCCCUCAGCCCACCAUGCCUACAGUCCCAUCAAGGUGCCUGUCCCCCUCAGUGCUCCUUGCUGGGACCCUGAGGAGGGGGGGCAGCCACUGACUGCCCUCAGCAGCCCCCCUCUCGAUGAGCUGCCGAGGAUUGAAGUGAUGUGGAGAGCCCUGUGUGCCCUGGUGGUACGGGGGAUGUAAUCAGGAGGCAAGGAGAAGCAAAGGAGGAGAGUAUUGCCUCAUCUUCUGCUCACAACAAGCCCAGGCCACCUGGCAUGGGAGGGGUAUGGGCAUAGCAGAGAGUGUGUGAAUCACCCUGGACGUGCAGCUCAGUGCAGAGAUCUCUGGAGUAAUCACCCCACCUUUCCAUCCUGAGCUGCAGAACUCAACAUGUAUAAGUCAGUAUUCGCUAAGAUACCAUCCCAGCAUGGAAAGAUUCUCCGCUGCAUCUUGGCUUUGGGACAAACCGGCUCACAAAGGGACCAGUGGAAGUCACUAUUUUUGCGAAUUUCAGGUGAGCUUUAGAUGGGUCAGAUUGCAGAGUUCCUGUGCCCAUCUUCAGCAGGAAAUCACCCACUCUCCAAUAAAAGCUUAAGACUUCUCUUUUUUUGGCACAUGACAACCAGAGGAUUCGCUGUGCUUUACACAACCACCCUACUUCCUUUCACAUUAAACUGUAAAACGAGCCCACGGCUUCGCAGGUGCUGGAGGCGAG